rnacentral:rRNA from 1 species
AUGUUCAUCACCAUAGACGACCAUACCAUGGAGGGGAUCACCAUCUUCUAUUGCCUCAUCCUCUCCCUCCCUCUCAUCUUUAUGCUCAGCCAUCAUGGGCGCAAGAAAGGGGCAAUGAAGCUCCCACCUGGUCCGCCCACUCUGCUCUUCGUAGCCAAGUUCGUGGUGCUCGGGCGGUCAGUCUUUCAAAUUGGCCCGAUACUUCGCGGGUUGCAUGCGCGCCAUGGUCCCAUCAUCUCCAUUUGGCUGGUGCGCACCUUCGUUUUCGUGGCCGACCGCCGCCUCGCGCAUAGCAUCCUCAUCAAGAGCAACGGCAACUUCGACGACCGCCCGCCCUCCACCGAGAUGAUGCACCUGUUUUUCCCCCACACUAUCAGCACCUCGCCCUAUGGGGCCUACUGGCGUCUUGUCCGCCGCAACCUGCACGCGCAGGCACUGCACCCGUCCCGCCUCAGGCUCUUCGCGCCGGCGAGGCAACGCGCGUGCGACGCGAUCCUUGGGUCACUGCGCGACGAUGCAUCGCGGGUCAUUGCGGUGAGGCCAUUGUUGGGGCGCUGUCUUUUUGAGGUGCUUGUGUGCAUGAGCCUUGGCGCCAGGCUUGGGCAGGAGGUGCUCGACGAGCUGCAGGAGAUGCACCAGCAGAUUUUCCAUGCCAUCACCAGCUUCCCCGUCUUCUCCAUCUUCCCGGCGCUCACUAAAAGGCUGCUGCGGAAGCGGUGGGCGACGCACGUGGCGCUGAACGAGAGGCGGAACGAAGUGCUCCUGCCGCUGAUCCGCGCGCCUCGCGGCGGCGAGAACCCCUCGUGCUACGCCGACUCACUCCUCGAGCUGCGCGUCGCCGAGGAAGGCAGCCGCCCCCUCACGGACGCCGAGAUGGUCACCCUCUGCUCCGAGUUCAUGACUGCCGCCGUGGACACCACCAUGAGCUUGAUAGAGUGGAUCAUGGCGGAGCUCGUGAACCACCCCGACGUUCAAGCCAAGGUGUAUCAGGAGGUGAGGGAGAAGCCUGAGCUCAAUGAGGACGACCUGUGCGGGAUGCCAUACCUCAAGGCCGUCGUGUUGGAGGGCACGCGGCUGCACCCUGGGGCCCACUUAAUCAUCCCGCACGGCGUGAAGAACGACGCGGAGAUAGGUGGAUACAUGGUGCCCAAGGGUUCUGAGGUCAACUUCUUGGUCGCCGACUUCGGGCUCGAUGAGACCGUGUGGACGGCGGCGCGGGAGUUCCGGCCGGAGCGGUUCUUGGACGGCGAUGACCUGGACAUCACCGGAAGCAGGGAGAUCAAGAUGGCGCCUUUUGGCGCUGGCCGCAGGAUGUGUCCAGGGUACACGCUCGCCAUAAUGCAUGCGGAGUACUUCGUGGGCAGCCUCGUGAGGGAGUUCGAGUGGCUGCCACCAUCACCAGCAGAAGCAACUGUCGACAUGACCGAGGACCUAGCCAGCAUCAUCGCCAUGAAGCACCCGCUCCGUGCUCGCAUCAUCCCAAGGGCUUAG